CUCCCUGUGGCUCAGUUGGUAGAGCAUGGUGUUUGCAAUGGUGUUUGCAACACCAGGGUUGUGGGUUUGAUUCCCACAGGGGGC
rnacentral:tRNA from 1 species